UACAGAGGUCCCGAGCGUUGUUCGGAUUCACUGGGCGUAAAGGGUGCGUAGGUGGCAUGGUAAGUUUGAUGUGAAAGCUCAGGGCUCAACCCUGAAAUGGCAUUGAAUACUACUGUGCUGGAGGGUUGGAGGGGGGACUGGAAUUCUUGGUGUAGCAGUGAAAUGCGUAGAUAUCAAGAGGAACACCAGUGGCGAAGGCGAGUCCCUGGACAACACCUGACACUGAGGCACGAAAGCUAGGGGAGCAAACGGG
rnacentral:rRNA from 1 species